rnacentral:tRNA from 1 species
GAAAUUUUCAACAUUAAACUUCUAAUUUAAUAUAUAGUGGUAAUUAUACCAUUAAAAUUUCU